rnacentral:rRNA from 2 species
UACGAAGGGGACUAGCGUUGUUCGGAAUCACUGGGCGUAAAGCGCACGUAGGCGGAUUUGUAAGUCAGGGGUGAAAUCCCGGGGCUCAACCUCGGAACUGCCUUUGAUACUGCGAAUCUUGAGUCCGAUAGAGGUGGGUGGAAUUCCUAGUGUAGAGGUGAAAUUCGUAGAUAUUAGGAAGAACACCGGUGGCGAAGGCGGCCCACUGGAUCGGUACUGACGCUGAGGUGCGAAAGCGUGGGGAGCAAACAGG